ensembl:snoRNA SNORD115 Small nucleolar RNA SNORD115
GAAUAAAGAGUGUCUUCAGGGGACAUGAUAAUGUAAAAAUCACGCUCAGUAGGAUUAAGCUAAGGCUC